rnacentral:lncRNA from 1 species
GACUACUGUCCCCAGACCUGAAGUUUAUUGAAGCUUGCCUCCGAUGCCUGCGUACCAUCUUCACCAGUCCUGUCACUCCAGAGGAGCUACUGUAUACAGGGCCAGAUCAUCAAACAAUUUUAUUUAACCACGGUGCAGUUCAGAAUAUUGCUCACCUACUAACCUCACUGUCCUACAAACUUGAUCAUGAUUUAAAACAUGCUCACGAACUCCGCCAGGCUGCAUUCAAGCUCUAUGCCUCUCUUGGAGCAAAUGAUGAAGACAUCCGGAAGAAGGUGAGUCUGGGAGAGGGGCGUCCCCCAGUCCUGACAGCCAGCAGGCAGGGAGUGACGUCAACCUGAAAGUCGUGGUGAAGAGCACUAACAGUGACUGUUUGAAUAUAAUAAAGCAGAGUGACUAAAGGCAUAAUUGAAGAAUGAAUGGGACCCGGAUUUGGGGGGUUGUUUGUUUGUUUUUAGAACAUAGAGUGGCAUGGCCGUGCUGGAAUGACAAAUAACUGGCGUGCUUUUUUUUUGUGUCAUUAAUAUGAAUUAUUAUGUUGCACAUUUUUGCAUGUGUUCUGAUAAAAAUCAAUUCUAGCACUGUGAAGCUUCAGACACCUUGAAAGUCCUAACAUUAGAAUUGUAAAUGUUAUUUAUGGAAAUACCUUCCAAUGCUAUUGAGAAAUUCAAAUCUCUAUUGUAUAUUGUUCUUUGAUAUGUGGCUUAGUUUUAUGUUUUGAUUUUUUUUGCUACUGUGCAAGUUUAAUGUGAAUAAAAUCUUUGUGGAAUGAUG